rnacentral:sRNA from 1 species
AAUUUGUUGUGGACAGAUCCAAUGAAUAUGACUGUCAAUGCCACCUGCCGUGAGAAUCAUACCUUCACCGGCAAUAACCUCAGUACCGGCACCAAUAGGAAUAGUCACGUUCGGUUGAAUAUCUGGAUUACCCGCUUUACCAAUUUGCCAGAUAUGGCCAUCUUUUAACCCUACAUCUGCUUUGAUAAUGCCAGUUACAGCAUCGAUAAUCAGUGCAUUAGUAAUGACCGUGUCAGCCACUUCGGCUGCAGACAGUUGUGAUUGCCCCAUGCCAUCAC